rnacentral:lncRNA from 1 species
UCAAAUGCAGCACCAUUAAGCUCAUUCUUCACUUCAAUUAAUCAAGCUGGUCUAGGAAGCAUUAAAGGACGUUUUUAAGAAGGAGUUGAGAAGUUUCAGCCUAUUAAUCAACUUAUUUAAACUCCAGCUGAAUGUAGGCUUCUAGAUGCUGUCCAUUGGUGUCUCUCAUGCUAGGAAACUUCAAGGAAGCUUCCAAGUAUGUUCAAGAAACUUCAAGGAAAUUUCCACCCUCUUUUAGCUUUAAUUUGCUGUCCACUCAGCACCCUUAAUUGCCUAUUCGGCUAUCCCAUGUAAAUGUUAUAAAUAUGUAGCUCAAUACACUUUGUAGGAACUUUUUACAAAUUUUUUAAAUGAAACUUUGUCUCUGUGAGGUUAACUUCCUCUCCAAUUUCGUACGAGUCUCGAGUGACUUAUCUAGCGUGUUAGUGGCAUCAUCCCGAACUUGUUUCUAAACUUAUCACCAACCUUUUGGUGUGGCGUUCUCCUAUCCAUCUACCAACCAUCUUCCACCUUAAGCCAUAUAAGACUCAGGGAGAUACUCGUAAUAGUAUCGAAUCUUUCUUGACGCUUAAGUUCUAUCAUUCAUCUCCAUCACUUACCUUAUCUAUCUUACUUGUUAAACCGAGCCCAUCCAAAUUUAUUCCAUUUAAAAUCCAUCUAUCCUUUAGCCACCACGAGCUUAUUUCGACAUAUAUUUCCAUAAUUAACCAAAUUCCUCCAUUUACGAAACCGAACGAUACUUCCUCAACGACGAUCGGGCAAAUUAGAUCACUCGACAAUCAACGCCGGGCCGGAUCGUAUCAGGUAAAAGGGGAUUUAUGAAUACAUAAAUUUAGUCAUGUAAAUUAAACUAUGUAACAAAAUUUUCUUAAACUAUGUUGUUACAUAAAUUUGACAUCAACUAAAUAUCUAAAGAAAAUUAAAUUAUAAAAAAAUACUUUACAUGACUAGAUUAUUAUAUGAAAAAUAAUCUUUCAAGUAACAGGGUUUUUUUUUGUUUGAUUUUACUAAACUUGGCAGUAAAACUAGGCUACCUAUGUCUUUUCAAUUUUGAAGGAUCAAGUUAUAAUGUAGUUCGAUUUCUUCUUCUCCUUUUUUUGUGCCCUGUCAUUUGCUUAAAUCAUCAAAAGAAGGAUUUUCAACUUAACAAGCUUUUUUUUUUCUUUUUCUUUUGCACUAACUUUUGCUUAAGUCGUCUAAUGAAGGAUUUUUAGCUUAAUGAGCUUUUUUUUUCUCUAACUUUUGCUUGAGCCAUCCAAUGAAGUAUAUUCAGCUUAAUUAGCUCUUCUUCUUUUCUUUAUGCUCUAACUUUUUCUUGAGCUAUCCAAAGAAGGAUUUUUAGCUUAACAAAAUUUUGUUGCAAUUUAAGCUCAUGGUCAAGAGUGAAGGCAUUCAUGUAUAGUAGCGCUUUAGAAAUUUUUCGUUCAUUAGCCCAACUUUGAUGUCAUCUUGAUCAACAAUCUUAUAUGCACUAUUAUUUUAAACUUCGUGAAUGACAUAUAGUACACAAACUUGUUACCCAUGCGAUGUAAAGUUUUUAUGGGUUUUUUUCACAACAAGAACUAAGUCCUCAAUUGGAAAUGAUCGCAGAUUCACUUUGUUAUUAAAUGCAUCUUCACUUUGUUAUUAAAUUCCUUAAACAAAAGAGCUUGGUAGCAUUACAAACGUUUUUGUGCUUGUAAUCUAUCUCAUCCAUUGCCUCCAAUUCUUCCAAUUGUAGGCUCAUGUUGUCUUCACUGGAAAGUGAUUUUUGGAUUGCAAUUCUCAAAGAUGGGAUUUGUCGCUCAAGUGGCUUCAACACCAUAAACAAGUACAUAUAGAGUGGCUUGAGUUAGUGUGUGAUAUAUAGUUCGAUAUGCCUAAAAAGUUUCUUUCAUCCGUUCAUGCCAAUCUUUCUUAAGUUGAUUCACAAAUUUCUUGAGAAGAUUGCACAAAGUUUGUUUUUUUGGAAGCUUCUGCUAGACCAUUUAUCAGAGCAUGGUACAUCGAAGAGUGGUAUUGCUUGAAGUCAAAUUGUACACACAACUAGCUCAUGUUGAAUUACUUCUCAUUAUCAAUAAUGAUGCAUCAUGGAACACCAUACUGAUGAAUGAUGUUUAUUUUGAUAAAGUUUUCCACAAUUUCUUUCUUCACUUCUCAUUAAGGUGCUGCCUUUGCCCAUUUUGAAAAGUAAUCUAUUAGAGCCAAUAUAUGUGUAUUCUUGUUAGAGUAUCCUCAAAGAUCAAUCAUGAGAUGAUUGUAAUCACAUACUCGUUUUACAUUAUUUAUUAAUAUAAGGCAUUGUCAUUAUUAUUUUAGUUUCUUUGUCUGGGUAUAUAAAUAAAUUGAAUUGAAAUAAAGUCCUAAGAACAUAUGAUUAUUCUUAAAAGGUCAUUAGUCAAGUAUUAUUGUGGGCUUGGACAACAAUAAUGCAUUAAGACUAAUGUGUAGUUGAUUGAUGACAAAGAGUUGUCAUUGACAUAGGAAUAUCAAAAUCAGACAUGAGUAUAUGUUAGAGAACAACAUAUUGGAUUAAAAGACUAAUAUAAAUAUCAAUAUAAAAUUUUCAAAAAAAAAGUGUUGAAUAAGAUAAGUAGGUAGGUAACAACAUAGUUGAGAAUUGAAAUUUUUAGGUGUUAAAUUGAUAGAAAUUAAGCUUAGUUUAAGAAAAAGACUAAAUUGUAAAGCUUAAGUGAUAGCUUUGUACAUUAGGGACUAAAUUUAAAAAGUGUAAAACUUACAUGAAAUUUUAAUAGGAAUAAGAAAUAUGCAGUCCCUAAUGAGUAAUUGUAAAAAAAAAAUUUCAAUCCGAAGCUUUGGAUUAAAAGUUAUGUUUAUCCCGGGUUUAGGGACUAAAUUGAAUAAAUUAUAAAAUAUGUUUGAUUUUUUAUUGAUUUUGAUUUGAAUGGAAUUUGAUACUAUUACAUGUUUUAUGAUUUUAUUUAGCUAAUGUUGAUACGGAACCGUCGAAAGAGAAAAGAAAAUCGAAAGUCGAUGACGAAUAACUCAAAAUUUUAGUUUAUAUUUCUAUGAUAUGAGACCCAUUUAAUUACUGCAUAUUUAUGUUAUUUUACAUCAUAUAUUAUCGAGGUGAUUCGUUAUGGGAUUAUUAAAUUGAAUUGCUACGGUUUAGAUUGAAUAUCAAGAUAGGGACUAAAUUGAAUGGAAUUGAAAGUUAUGAAUUUAUUGAUAAAUGAUAAUUGAUAUGAAAUUGAGUUGAUAUAUGUUGUAUAUAUGAUGAGUUGGUGAAUUUAUGGAUUAUUAGGACAUGAUUAAAUAUGAUUUGAAUAAUGUUUAUUAUGAAUCAAAAAUUUGGUUACCCUAUUAGCUAUUCGGACUAUGUUGAAUAUAAUUGGCACGCCAUAAGGUAAGAUUAUUGAUUGAAAACCAUCAUUGCUAGGAAAUUUGGGAUGGUAGAUUGUAAUUUGUGAGUCAUCAUUGUCUGGCAACCCAGGUUGACAUAUUAAUUAGAUUGAGAAAGCGAUUGUUAUCAAGCAAUUCGAGGUGGUAUUAUGCACAUGUAUGGCGUCAUAUUAAGGGUCGAUCUUGUAAUAACGAGCUAAACGGCUCGAAAAAGAUUGAGAUGUGGUAUUAAUUUUAACAUAUUAUAUACAUGCUAAGAGUGAUAAAAUAAAUAAGUAUGAAUUGAACUAGAGAUGGUAAAUGGAAAGGAACUAAAUGAUAUUUGAAAUUAGUGGGUCGUUGGUAAGCUUAUGUGUAUAUAUAUGCUUAAAUGAAUUGGUUAUAGGCUUGGUUAUAUAUAUUUAUGGUGAUUUGGAAAUAAAAGUGUUAUGACACGGGAUUUGAUUUUGGAUUGAAUUUGAUAUGAAUGUAUGCAUAUGUUUAAUUUAUUUAUAUUGUCUUGAAUCAUAGAAAUACCACUGAGCAUAUUUGCUCAACGUAAGAUUUGUUUUCUCCACGUGUAGGUAUUGUAGAUUCUCGACAAUUUGAACGGUUGAUCCAGCAUCCAGCAAUCGAUCCCUAACUCAACAAAGUUUGUACAAAUUCUAUCUUGUUCUAAGUUUGGCAUAUACCUAGGUUGAUUCAAAUUUGGCACCUAACUAUGUAUAUAUGCAUUUUAGCUUAAAAAGGUUAAUGUAGGAACUUGGUUAAUUGAAUUUGGGUUGUAAAUUUGUUUUGAAAUGGUGUGAUUUGCUAUAAUGUUAAUAACCCUGAUUGAAAUUGGUAUGAAUGUACAUGAUUUGAAUGAAUUGCAAUAGGUAGUUAGCUUAUAGAUAAGAUGGCAUUAGCACACCAUUGUUCAAUGUGUUUUGAUUAUGUUUGAGGUAUAAAGAUUGUACGUUUUGGCUGGAAAGUUGCAUAUAUUAGUUGGUCUUUAGGUGUGAGUAUGUAUUGUGUAUGCUUGGAAAAUAUGCAAGUAAUGUUCAAUAAAAAUUGCAGAAAUAGUAUGUGACGUCGCAACGAGAUAUGACUCCAAGCCACGAUGCAACAUCAUGUAUGGGUUGUUGGGAUGAGACCAGACAAUAUUUUGCGUCAUGACGAGGAACCCCCUGACGUCGCGACUUCAACUUGAAGUUUUGUCAACAUUACAAUUUAGUCCUAAUUUGGUCUCGGGUUAACUUUAGAGCUUUCGUAAGCUUGUAUAAGACCAGAGAAUGAUUAUAUGUCAUAUUAUAUAUUUAUAUUGCUUGUAUUUUUAUGUUAAUUGGAA